rnacentral:ncRNA from 1 species
GUGUAAAUAUCGUGCGGAAUAAAUCCCAAGACUCUAAAAACGUGUUGUUCAUAAAGUUCUCAGUACUUAACCAUGAAUGUCAAGUCUAAUGGGUAGAUGAAAGUAGAAAAGUUAUUC